GCCAGUGUAGCUCAGUGGUAGAGCAUCUGAUUCGUAAUCAGUAGGUCGAGGGUUCGACUCCCUCUGCUGGCU
rnacentral:tRNA from 1 species